UACGUAGGGCGCGAGCGUUGUCCGGAAUUAUUGGGCGUAAAGCGUCCGCAGGUGGACAUACAAGUCUGCUGUCAAAGUGCAGAGCUUAACUCUGUAAAGGCGGUGGAAACUGUAGGUCUUGAGUAUGGUAGGGGUAGAGGGAAUUCCCGGUGUAGCGGUGAAAUGCGUAGAUAUCGGGAAGAACACCAGUGGCGAAAGCGCUCUACUGGGCCAUAACUGACACUGAGGGACGAAAGCUAGGGGAGCGAAAGGG
rnacentral:rRNA from 1 species